UACAGAGGUCCCGAGCGUUGUUCGGAUUCAUUGGGCGUAAAGGGUGCGUAGGCGGUAGAGUAAGUCUGAUGUGAAAUCCCAGGGCUCAACCCUGGAACUGCAUUGGAUACUGCUUUGCUUGAGUACUGGAGAGGGAACUGGAAUUUACGGUGUAGCAGUGAAAUGCGUAGAGAUCGUAAGGAAGGCCAGUGGCGAAGGCGAGUUCCUGGACAGUUACUGACGCUGAGGCACGAAGGCCAGGGGAGCAAACGGG
rnacentral:rRNA from 1 species